CAAACCACAACCACAUAUUAAAACAUUUUACCACCCAAGUAUAGGUGAUAGAAAAGGUUCCCAGAGCAAUAGAAAAAGUACCGUAAGGGAAAGCUGAAAAAGAAAUGAAACAACCCAACAAAGCAAAGAAAAGCAGAGACUAAUACUCGUACCUUUUGCAUCAUGGCUUAGCAAGAAAGCCCAAGCAAAGAGAACUUAAGUUUGACCCCCCGAAACCAGGAGAGCUACUUCGGAGCAGCCCAAAGGGGCAAAUCCGUCUCUGUGGCAAAAGAGUGGAGAGACUCCCGAGUAGAGGUGACAAGCCUACCGAGCCUGGUGAUAGCUGGUUGCCCAGAAAAUGAAUAUAAGUUCAGCGCUAUAUAAAUCCUGGCUCUUAUAAACAAAAAGAGUAAGCAAGACAUAGCAGUUAGUCAAAAGGGGUACAGCCCUUUUGAAAAAGGACACAACCUUACCAAGGAGGAAAAGGAUCAAAAACCCAAGGCACCUUCCCCAGUGGGCCUAAAAGCAGCCACCUGG
rnacentral:rRNA from 1 species